AUAAGUUGGUCAAGUAAAUUUAAUAAAGGGAAAUAAUUGAUUCUAGAUAAGAGAGAGUGUUCUUGUACUUUGCACUGUCUCUCUGUUCUUUGUCAAUGUGUGAAGUAUUAACAAAAAUCCUUUUAAAACGUUUUUGAAUUAUACGGACAAAGUGUUACAGUAAAUCAAAUGCAAAUGUAAUGGGAGAUGAUUAAAAAAAGUAAGCAAGAUAGAGUUAGAGUUCGUGUACACUGAAUUUUCUUUCAAUAUCUUCAGUGCCAUUGCAUGAAGCUUUAAAAGGUUUGAGUUACGCUCCGGACAAAAGUGUUACGAGUAAAUCAAGUAAAGGGAUAUAAUUCAAAAUGUAUGCAGCAUAGAAAACUAUCAUUCUUACACACUGCACUUUCUCUCAAUACCCUCUAUCUAAAAAUGCUCCGGACAAAAGUGUCAAGCGUAAACAAAUAAAGGGAGAUGAGCAAGAUCUAAUCAUAGUGCUUAUACCUGCAUUUUCUCUUAUUGUUCUUUAUCACCAUGCGAAGUUUUAACAAUAGUCCUGCUACGCUCCGACGCACGGACAGACAGACGGAUGUUCCUACAUAUGGGUAUUUAUUUGGCUACUCAUUUGUUCUCUCUAUUGUUCUUUUAGCCACGUAAAAGAGAAAAAUAGCCACAUAAAAGCCUUAUGGAAUGAAUGGCAUCAAAGAAAAAGUACAGUUUCCUAUUGUUCCUAUAGCCACCUAAGUAUGCAAAUGUGGGGUCGGACAGACGGGCAGACAUAGACCAUUACCAUAUCCCAUUCACUUUAUGGCGACGUAUAUAUGUAAAGUCCAGGUCACAAAUCAACAUUCAAAUGUCAUGAACAACACGGGCAUCCAUCUCGGUAGAACCAUCAGUUAUAGCAAAACUAUACUAGUUUCAGGACUUUGAAUGGCCCAAUCUAGGUGUUUGAUAAGAAUAAUAACAUUUUCACAAUUUACAAAAAGGGAUGGAGUUCUGACUGAAAUUGAUUGCGUGUUCUAGAUAAUUUUUUAUCAACGUUUGAUGCAAAGGUGAAAAAACAUAUCAUCCGAGUUCUUUUAGCAAGCCCUUCCUGAUGGUUCUUUUUUGCUUUAGACCUCGUAUAUAUAUGGCAUUAGUUCGUAAUUAGAUAAUUUCUUAUCGGAGUCACAGGUUGAUAAGCAGUAUACACUGAAAAGUUUUGUAUAAACUUUCGAUACAGUCGCAUAGUUGUAAAUAAGAUGGCUUCUCUCUAUAUAUAUUGCUUACAGUUUAUUUUUCUUUCACUUCUGUCUUCGAGGAUUUCCGGCUCUGUCAUUAAACAAACGCAUGUGAGUACGGAAAAUGUAACAGCACAGUUCUGUCCCUACAUGUGCACCAUUGCAGACCACACUUUCUGCUACCCACCACCAUGUCCUCCACCGCCUUGCGGGGAUCCAGCUAAAUACCAACCAAUGGAUUGCUGUGACUGGUGCCCUAAUGGUGAAAACUGUCCGGCUUCAGAUGGAAGCAUGAUACCGCUUCACCACUGGAAAAUUGUGCAAGGCAAAAACUGCACGUGCAAAUAUGCUCCGACAUAUCUGGUGUGCGUUUGAGACGUGCUGUUUGGACUGAGUUUAUUUGCACAAACUGUCUAUUGUAAACAUUUGUCAUCUUUUCAUCACCUAAUUUGUUAUUAACUACAUUUACGUGUAUGUAAAACUCAUGAUAAAAGUCUGUAGAUAGUUACCAAGUGCAUGCUAUUAAAAGUGAAAGUUGUUCCUACAAAGGAUAUGUUAAUAUGUAGAGCAACUUGAUACGUUUCAGCGCAUGCGCACGUGUUAGCUUUCUCGUUCGCUCGUACAUCGCGUGCAGAUGCGAAGAAAACAUAUUCUCCACGUCCCUGCUUAAAUCGUUAGCUGAACAUUGGGUCUGCAAUGGCGAUAUCGUUGUCAGUACUCUUGGAUUAUUUUGUUAUAGAGCUCUAAAAUACCAGCACUUGAUUAGCUGAUUUUGAGCAUGGUCUUAAAAUGGCAAAAAUGCAUUUAGAGGCUGGCUUUGAUAUCUGUGGAGCUGACCAAUGUGGAAUACUAGUAGGUCAACAUUCAUUGAAAAUUAUCAUAAAGGUUAUCAGCUUAAACAUAUAUAUUCUUAUCUUGGUAACCUACAAACACGUCCUAAAACCCAGCCUUUGGAACAUAAAGUAAAAACUAUGGCAAAACACAUCACUAGUGUAUUAGUGUGCUUCUUUUACAUGGAACUUUCUUUGUUUUUAUUGUCAACCGCUGUUGAAGAAAGCGAAUUACCGACAGUAAGUACAAAGAAUAUAACAGCGCACUACUGUCCGUUCCCAUGCACUGUGGGUAAUCAGACAUUAUGUUACCCUCCUCCAUGUCCACCACCGGGUUGCAUUGAUCCGGCAAAGUACAAACCCACUGACUGCUGCGACUACUGUCCAAAUGGUCCGAACUGCAGAGGUCCUAAUGGGCGUCCUAUACGAUGGAACCAUUGGAAAAUAGUUGACGGG
rnacentral:lncRNA from 1 species